ACCUCUGUAGUGUAGCGGUAGCAUUACUGCCUACCAUGCAGGAGGCCUGGGUUCAAUUCCCAGCAGGGGAC